rnacentral:rRNA from 2 species
AGAUUAAGUUAUUAAGGGCGCACGGUGGAUGCCUUGGCACUAGAAGCCGAUGAAGGACGUUACUAACAACGAUAUGCUUUGGGGAGCUGUAAGUAAGCUUUGAUCCAGAGAUUUCCGAAUGGGGAAACCCAGCAUGAGUUAUGUCAUGUUAUCGAUAUGUGAAUACAUAGCAUAUCAGAAGGCACACCCGGAGAACUGAAACAUCUUAGUACCCGGAGGAAGAGAAAGAAAAUUCGAUUCCCUUAGUAGCGGCGAGCGAAACGGGAAGAGCCCAAACCAACAAGCUUGCUUGUUGGGGUUGUAGGACACUCUAUACGGAGUUACAAAGGACGACAUUAGACGAAUCAUCUGGAAAGAUGAAUCAAAGAAGGUAAUAAUCCUGUAGUCGAAAAUGUUGUCUCUCUUGAGUGGAUCCUGAGUACGACGGAGCACG